UACGAAGGGGGCUAGCGUUGCUCGGAAUCACUGGGCGUAAAGCGCACGUAGGCGGGUCUUUAAGUCAGGGGUGAAAUCCUGGAGCUCAACUCCAGAACUGCCUUUGAUACUGAGGAUCUCGAGUCCGGGAGAGGUGAGUGGAACUCCGAGUGUAGAGGUGAAAUUCGUAGAUAUUCGGAAGAACACCAGCGGCGAAGGCGGCUCACUGGCCCGGUACUGACGCUGAGGUGCGAAAGCGUGGGGAGCAAACAGG
rnacentral:rRNA from 1 species